rnacentral:rRNA from 1 species
ACUCAAAGGAAUAGACGGGGACCCGCACAAGCGGUGGAUGAUGUGGUUUAAUUUGACGAUACGCGGAGAACCUUACCGAGGCUUGACAUCCUAGGAACCUUUAAGAAAUUAGAGGGUGCCUUCGGGAGCCUAGUGACAGGUGCUGCAUGGCCGUCGUCAGCUCGUGUUGUGAAAUGUUGGGUUAAGUCCCGCAACGAGCGCAACCCUUAUCAUAUGUUGUAUUUUUCAUAUGAGACUGCCCGGGCCAACCGGGAGGAAGGUGGGGAUGACGUCAGGUCAGCAUGGCCCUUACGCCUCGGGCUACACACGUCAUACAAUGGCCGGUACAACGCGUUGCGAAGUCGCGAGACGGAGCUAAUCGCACCAAAACCGGUCUCAGUUCGGAUUGCAGGCUGCAACUCGCCUGCAUGAAGUCGGAAUCGCUAGUAAACGUGGGUCAGCAUACCACGUUGAAUACGUUCCCGGGUCUUGUACACACCGCCCGU